GCCUCUGUGGCGCAGUGGUAACGCGUUCCACUCGUAUUUGCGAUUCAUGGAGAGAUCCCCGGUUCAAACCCGGGCGGAGGCA
rnacentral:tRNA from 1 species